CUACGUGCCAGCAGCCGCGGUAAUACGUAGGUGGCAAGCGUUGUCCGGAAUUAUUGGGCGUAAAGCGCGCGCAGGCGGAUUGGUCAGUCUGUCUUAAAAGUUCGGGGCUUAACCCCGUGAUGGGAUGGAAACUGCCAAUCUAGAGUAUCGGAGAGGAAAGUGGAAUUCCUAGUGUAGCGGUGAAAUGCGUAGAUAUUAGGAAGAACACCAGUGGCGAAGGCGACUUUCUGGACGAAAACUGACGCUGAGGCGCGAAAGCCAGGGGAGCGAACGGGAUUAGAUACCCCGGUAGUCCUGGCCGUAAACGAUGGGUACUAGGUGUAGGAGGUAUCGACCCCUUCUGUGCCGGAGUUAACGCAAUAAGUACUCCGCCUGGGGAGUACGACCGCAAGGUUGAAACUCAAAGGAAUUGACGGGGGCCCGCACAAGCGGUGGAGUAUGUGGUUUAAUUCGACGCAACGCGAAGAACCUUACCAGGUCUU
rnacentral:rRNA from 1 species